CACGUAGGGCGCAAGCGUUGUCCGGAAUUAUUGGGCGUAAAGAGCUCGUAGGCGGUCUGUUGCGUCUGCUGUGAAAACCCGGGGCUUAACCCCUGGCUUGCAGUGGAUACGGACAGACUAGAGGUAGGUAGGGGAGAAUGGAAUUCCCGGUGUAGCGGUGAAAUGCGCGGAUAUCGGGAGGAACACCGGUGGCGAAGGCGGUUCUCUGGGCCUUACCUGACGCUGAGGAGCGAAAGCGUGGGGAGCGAACAGG
rnacentral:rRNA from 1 species